UACGGAGGGGGCUAGCGUUGUUCGGAAUUACUGGGCGUAAAGCGCACGUAGGCGGAUUUUUAAGUCAGGGGUGAAAUCCCGGAGCUCAACCUCGGAACUGCCUUUGAUACUGCCAAUCUCGAGUCCGGAAGAGGUGAGUGGAAUUCCUAGUGUAGAGGUGAAAUUCGUAGAUAUUAGGAAGAACACCAGUGGCGAAGGCGGCUCACUGGUCCGGUACUGACGCUGAGGUGCGAAAGCGUGGGGAGCAAACAGG
rnacentral:rRNA from 1 species